AUUGAACGCUGGCGGCAGGCCUAACACAUGCAAGUCGAGCGGAGCGGCGGACGGGUGAGUAAUGCCUAGGAAUCUGCCUGGUAGUGGGGGAUAACGUCCGGAAACGGGCGCUAAUACCGCAUACUAUCAGAUGCGCCUAGGUCGGAUUAGCUAGUUGGUGGGGUAAAGGCCUACCAAGGCGACGAUCCCUAUCUGGUCUGAGAGGAUGACCAGCCACACUGUAACUUGGACACGGUCCAGACGCCUACGGGAGGCAGCAGUGGGUAAUAUUGCACAAUGGGCGCAAGCCUUAUGCAGCCAUGCCGCGUGUAUGAAGAAGGCCUUCGGGUUGUAAAGUACUUUCAGCGUGGAGGCGUUACCCGCAGAAGAAGCACCUGCUAACUCCGUGCCAGCAGCCUCGGUAAUUC
rnacentral:rRNA from 1 species